AGCAAAGAUGGCGGAUGAGAAUCGAUCAUAAACUUAGAGAAAGAAAUCGGCAAUGCCUCAGGCAAACGGAGUCGUGGUGAUUGCUGAGAGUGGCUGAAAAGGCACUUAUGUCAGAUGGCUGGAUGGAGAGAAACCCAGGGCUUGGUGAUUCAUACAGUUGUCUGACAGGAAGCCGUAGAGCACCGGGUUGGCGCAGGAGUUGGCGUAGGACAGGAUGACAGCAAAGAAGUAGAUGCCGGCAGUGACGCUGGACUCUGGGAUGAUGACAACCAGGUUGACCAUGUUGAUGAUGAA